AAUAGAUACCCGGGUAGUCCACGCCGUAAACGUUGGGCGCUAGAUGUGGGGGCCAUUUCACGGUUUCCGCGUCGUAGCUAACGCAUUAAGCGCCCCGCCUGGGGAGUACGGCCGCAAGGCUAAAACUCAAAGGAAUUGACGGGGGCCCGCACAAGCGGCGGAGCAUGCGGAUUAAUUCGAUGCAACGCGAAGAACCUUACCAAGGCUUGACAUAUACGAGAACACUGCAGAAAUGUAGGACUCUUUGGACACUCGUAUACAGGUGGUGCAUGGUUGUCGUCAGCUCGUGUCGUGAGAUGUUGGGUUAAGUCCCGCAACGAGCGCAACCCUCGUCGCAUGUUGCCAGCACGUAAAGGUGGGAACUCAUGUGAGACUGCCGGGGUCAACUCGGAGGAAGGUGGGGAUGACGUCAAAUCAUCAUGCCCCUUAUGUCUUGGGCUUCACGCAUGCUACAAUGGCCGGUACAAAGGGCUGCAAUACCGUAAGGUGGAGCGAAUCCCAAAAAGCCGGUCUCAGUUCGGAUUGAGGU
rnacentral:rRNA from 1 species